UCAGGCGGCCACAGAAAGCCCACAGCACAGGUCCCAGCUGCACUGCAAGCCUCUGUCCCACCGUCCCCAGCUCAGAGCAAAGCAGACACCUGAAGCAGAUGGUGCUCCCCAAAAGCAGCGCCCCAAAAGAUGCUGGGGCAGGCGCCAUGGGCAAGGCUGUCUCCUUCUGGCCCUGCCGUCCUGCUGCUGGUGCUCUCUGCCAGCUUGACCUCCCAGGACAUCUGCAGCUCCCCAGGGGAUCUCCUGGCUCCUGCUCUCCAACUCAGCAUAACUUCUGCUCAGCCAGGUACCACAGCUGUGCUCCAGUGUUUUCUCC